UACAGGAUCAACAGCCUACACAGCCAUGGAUGACCCAGGCUCAUUGAAUUUUGGCAUCGGACUGCAAGAGCAGAUGAAUCCUUCCCUAUGAAGCUGUGGUAUUAUCUAACAAGACUUUUAAGAUACGAGAACAGGCCAUCCCAAGCCAUUGAUGGAAGCCAAACACUUGGAGCACAAAUGAAACGUGACUGGACAUGGGUUUCUCUUAGUCAAGCAUCCUGGGAGCCUAGAACCGCAAGUUCUCACUGCAUCCCAGAGCAGGGCUGGAACUGCCAUUAUGGACCAAACUGUGUAUCGCCAACAGGAUCACACUCACACAGAACUGUUGUUCAGCUACACAGCUGCACUGAAGAAACUAAUGUUCUCUUGUUUAGUCGUACUCCAACUGUCUUUACUCAUGGUGAUGUUUUUGAUCACACCAUGCUAAAUUGGUCUUGGUCAUAA
rnacentral:lncRNA from 14 species